UUUUAGAAGAGCCACGGCCGAAGUCAGCGUCCCAGCAAAGACAAACCCCAAGACCAGAGAUGGGAUGUGGGUUGGUGAGAGUGCCAAGCGAUAGGGGCACGUGGAGGAAAGAAGACUCAGAAGCACCUGUGUGGUAGGCGGGCCUCUGGCUGGAUCCCACUGAGCCUGGCCUCCUGAGAUUCACCCUUGCGUGUGACUCCUUUUCCGUGAAUAGAGUCCAGAUAAAAAGGCAUCUGACAUCGGGGCAUUUUCUAAUCAGCUCAGACUGUCAUAGCAAAAUGCCACGGAUGGGGGCUUACCGGACAGAAUCCGCUGUGUCCCAGGCGGGAAGUCCAAGGUGAGCGUGCCGGCCGUUCUGGUUCUGGUGAGAACGUUCUCGCUCGUUUGCAGACACUGACUUCUCGCUGGGUCCUCCCGUGGUGGACAGACAGCAAGCCCUGAUGUGUCUUCCUCCUCUUGUAAGGAUGCCGGUCUUAUCAGGGGGCCGCCGUCAUGGCUGUGUCCACAGCCGCGUGGAACAGAGAGGCCCUCUGCAGAGCUGAAUCCCCUCAGCGGUCACAUCCUGAGCUUGGCUGCAGGAUGGAAGAAAUGGAUUUGUAAGCGGCUGUCAGACACAGGACACGUGCAGUUGCGGAAAUAUCCUAUGAAAAGGGUCACUUCCUGUGUCACCAGCAAAGACAGACAUGAUGAGCUGGAGUGGAGUCGACAAUAUGGGAUGACAGGAUCCCUGGAAAAAAUGCCUUCAUGCUUUGAUCUGUCAGCUCCCUGAAGAAACUGACCUCCAAGCAUGAUUACUCCAGGUCAACCACCAUCUGGAGGAAAAUGACCCUCCUUCUGAUGUGUCCCCAGAAGGUGAACAGUAGCCUAACACUGCCUCACGAUGCCUGCACCAUCCAGCUCACUUCAUCUCGUCAGGAUCGAGAAAAAGGAUAUUCCAGAUGGCAUCCAUUUCGGGGACCUGAUCAUGGUAUGUCAACAAUGAUUAGGAUCCACUUGUGAUGAGAGCUUAAGCCACCCGAGGAAUUGUUGCAUCUUUAGUCACAAAGGAAGUCUGCCUAUCAAACACGUGUGUAAUCUUUCUGGAUCCUCUUCAGGAAAAUAAAAGGUAAGUCAGGGGUCAUGAAUAUCAGUAUUUAAAGAAAAAAUAGUCUGAGGUGUAAAAUCAAGCAACAGCUGAGAGCUAAAGAGAAAGCUGGAGCUCAAGACAAAACAUGAUUUAUACUUCCUUGUUUUGUGUUUUGAGGUUACUCCUAAGCUGUCCCAAAUACAUAUAUUUAGGUCAAAAGCUAGAAUCUGUUACUCAGCAAUACCGAGGCUGGAUGACCUGAAUAACUUAAAAAAAAAAAAUGCCAACACCGAGGUCCAAAUCAUAGAAAUCUUGAUUCAAUUGGCGACAAGUGGGAUUCUUAGCAUGCAUGAGAGGUUCUUUAAGCCCCCGCCCUGGUGAAUUUGCCUCUAGACAAGAAUUUGGCAAUGGUGAAGGAAUUUUUCACAUGUAAUUUAUGUCCCAAAUCAGUUGAUUUUGAGCUUACUAAAAGGGAGUUUUUUCUGGGUGGGCUUGCUCAGAUCAAGUGAAAGACCUUAAUGUGGACCAAGGCCUCACCAAGCUGAAAGAGUCUUGUAAGAGCUGAUGACAUAAAUGUCCAUGGUGGAGAAACUCAAGAGGCACAGAACUGUGGGUGGGCUCUAGAAAUCAUGGACGCCUCUGUGUCCUCUAGCAAAGGCAUAGCAAAAAUCGGGAACCCUCAGCUAUAUAACUGCAAGGAUAUGGGUUCUGCCAGCAACCUGAAUGAGUCUAGAAUUGGAUUUUUCCACAUCUGAACAUCCAGAUGAGCCUUUUCACAUCCUGAACCAAGACCCAGAUAAACCAGAUCCAGAUUCCAGAUGCAUAAAAACUAUGAUAUAAUAAACUGUGUGUUGUUUCAAGCCUCUAUGAUUAUUAGGUAAUUUGUUAAACAACAACAGAAAAUGGGUACAAUGAUCUGCUCCAAAAUGUUCACUAAGUGUACCCUUGGGGUAACUGAUGACUUCUUAACAGUGGGAUCAGUUGUUUGAUAAUUUUUAAAGACUCUCUUUCAAGCAAAUUGGUUGGGGAGG